CAGAGCUAAACCCAAGGCGCAUGCACCGCCAGAGCCCGUCGCGCUUCGAUGGCGUCACACAAGGCGCAUUGUCCGAGAUCUGGUCUCAUCCAUUGAUGCCGCCUGGAGCAAGUCUGUCUGUGUACUGUGCGCAAGUUGUUUCUUGGGCACAAGGGAUUUUUCCAGCGGAAAGGUAAACAAGAAAGAGUCCUGGUGGCUGAAAGCUGCUGAACGAAGUGAAGAAAGGGGAAGAGUGAGUGAGACCUGAAGGAAACGUCAUCAAAGCGCUCCGGAAGCGUCCGACAAUGAAGGCUGUGAUUUACCAUGCCUUUUCUCAUAAAGAAGCCAAGGAGCACGAUGUACAGCAGGAGCUUGGAAGCCAGCGGGCUGAGGCCUUUGUGAGGGCCUUCCUGAAGCAGAGCAUAGUUCACUGGAGCCAGCAAGACUUUUGAGAGCCAUCUGCAACUUAAGGCUGUGGUCUUGGAAUACUUGUCAGAAGCCAAAGCAGCAGAAGAAGAAAUCCAAAGGCCUCACUGCCAAACAGAGGAGAGACAUGAGGCUCUUUGACAUUAACCCAGAGCAACAGAGAUGCUCAUAAUCAAUGCCCUUGAAAGAGGACUUUUCUGUUAAUAUCCACCAAGCACCGUUGGAGACUCUGACCCCAGGAAUGCCACAGGCAAAACAGCAAUGGGCUGCAAACUGCUUCCACCACGGGCAUUCUCUGUCCAGCUUCAAACACUGGUGUUGCAUUGGCCGUUUAUUUCUUCUUUUAUGGAAUAACCAGACACAGGCCCAGAACCCCAUGAUGCCCUGGAAAAUGUAUAAGCAACAUACAAUGCUCUGCUCUGCACAUCUGGAGAGAUCCCACCUUGAUCUGCCCUGCAGCUGGAGAGUCUCCCCGAGGAUCCUGACCCUCAAAGACACUGUUAGAGGCUAGACCUGACCUUCAACUAAGAUACAUCACACAGGUGAGCAGCCUUGGGGAGGGAGGCUCAGGACACUAGUUAGGAAUUUAUGUGAUGACCUUCAGCAUAAUAAAAUAUACCUUUUGUUAUACUAACUGCAAAUAUCUACCCUCUUGUUCACAAGAAUCACAUACUUAAGUCUAAAAAUUCUCUUCAAUUAAAUUAAGUGAAUUUCCAUCUGUUUAUCCUUUAUAAAAUAAGUAUUUUUCACCCCCCAAAAAUUUUUAAGAUAUUUUUAUGCCAUUUGAUACAGCAGAGACAUCAGAAAUGCUCCUUUGUGGCCACUGAUGGUUACUGUUACUGUGUUUUAUAGAUACAUUGCUUUAAAACUAUCAAUUAUAAUUCAAAAUUCAGAAAGUAUGAUUGAGAAAGGUAUCAAAUUUAAAUAAUAUUUUAUUUAUUACUGUUCUGUGUGGAUGAUGUGCGUGGGGGUGGCACAUGUGUGGAAACUGGUGGACAACUUGGUGGGGUCUCUUCUUCCACCUUGAGUUCUGAGGAUCAAGCAAAGAUCAUCAGGCUUGUGUGUCAAGAAGCUCUUCCUGCUGAGCUUUGUCACUUGGCCAAUGUCAGAUUUUAAAAGAGAAGGCUAGCCACAGCAGGAGUUAGCACACAUCCACCAGUGUGCGUUUUUUAAUUUUUUUUGAGGAUUUUUAUACAUGAGGCCAAUGAAUUUUCUCAUCUCUUCCUUGCAACUCUUCCUGUGUCCCCACAAUGUCCCCUUCUCAAAACACUCCAUUUUCAAAUUCACUUCUUCCUUGAUAAGUAAUUUUACACCAUAUAUUCUACAGAGUCCAAGAUAUACCUGGGCUCUCAGAGCCUCAGUGUGUGUUGUGUUACAGAUACCCCAUUUGAAGAUAGAAACCCACAGUCAGGUGUUCUCUGAACUCUGACAACAAUCUUGUGUUGCAGAAGAAACCGCUUGAUGACAGAUUAACCUGUCAGAAUGGCUAAGAUCAACAGAAGAAGCGACAGCUCAUGCUGGGGAGGAUAUGAAGCAAGAGGAGCACUCCUCAUUUGCUGGUGUCCCAUGGAAGGCCUCAAACAACCCAAGCUGUUGCCAAGACAAUAGGUUUCGCUCCACAAACUACAGCAAGGCCUUAUUGCUGAAGACAACACACAUAUCUCUCAUUGGAUAUAGAGAAAUCAAGCUGAUGUAUGGUGAUGUAUUGUGUCCCCCAAUAUACUGUGUCUCCCAAUAAAAUAAAACUUGCCUGGAGAUCAGAGGAAAAAGUCAGCCACUAUAUAGCUGUCAGGCAAUGGUAGCACACACCUUUAAUCCUAUCACUUGGCAGGCAGGGAUCUAUCUGUCUGGAUCUCUGUGAGUUCAAGGCCACACUAGGGAACAGAGCCAGGUGUAGUGGUACACACCUUAAAUUCCAACACUAGUUAACCAUUGGGGUGUGGAGGUCUGUACAGACAGACAGGAAGUGACAAAGCUGGGCAGGAAGAGGAAGUGAUGUAGUUGGACAUAGAGAGCAAAUCAGACGGCAGAACAGCAAGAGAUAUAGGCGUGGAUAGACAGGAAGUCUCACCUUUGGAAGCUGCAGAGUUGGUGAGGUGAGGUUAGCAUGUGGCUGUUCCUAUUCCUCUGAUCUCUAUCUCAGGUUUUCACUUCAAUAUCUGUCUCCAUGUUUUUUUUUUAUUAAUAAGACCAUUUAGAAAUUUGUCUACAGUCCCCUUAUGUUUAAGGACUUCAUAGGAGACAACUGGGAUUGAAGACUUUAAAGCCAAAAGAUAUAGUUCCUAAUACGCUUUUGCUGACUCUCAGUUUUCUUUGCUUCUAUCAAACAAUGAUUUGGCUUGAUCCCUCAAGUUACCUAGUGGGUUGCUGUGGUCUGUAAGGCUUGACUAAUGCUGGAUGCCCUAGCAAAGCCUUCAGCGUUUGAUCAUUGUAUUAAAACAGUUGUCUUUACUUUAAGUAUAUUUCAAAUACUUGAGAAACCUAUGCUAUGGCAUGUAUUUAGAGUUGCCAAUAAUAUUGGCUUGAAGACAUCACUAGUUCAGGAGCCAAACAUCACUGUCAGGUGCAAUUAUCAGAGAAGCUUUAUAGAGGACAGUAUGAUCCUACAGAGACUUCCAGACUUCCACAGCUUCCUUUAGUCAAGAAGACUAUUUUAAAAACCUAAAGAUAUAUAAUCAGUUCAAUUCUUCCAAUCUGUGCAGUGUUUUUUUCUGUCUGCAAAGACAUCAGAAAUUAUUGCACCAGUGGUAACUAUGGCAACAUUGCAAGUGACUUACCCAAAGCUGUCACACUCUUCAUGGGACUCUCUUGAUAAAUACUAACUGGAAACACAGGAAAUAACUAGCACUUCAGUCCACUGUUUACCAAUCUUCCAUCUGCAUUAUAUGUUUUCUGGUGUUUAUGUUUUGCUCAAGGUCUCCUGUGUAUUCUCUUUCCGUGGUAUGUUUUGUCUGUAGCUACAAAAGUAAAUGAAACUAUUUUAAGUACACAUGAAGAACAUCUCACAGAUCACAGAUCCAAUAACUUGGGUUUACAGCAGUUGGAUUCGUUGAAUCUGCCUCACAUUGUUUCUCAAACUAGUCGUGAGCCCCUGUGUUUAAGUUAUCUCACUGCCUCAGCUUCUCCAGAGUUUCUAAGAAUAAAGCUUCACACUGCUGUGCCUGGCAGAGUCAAUUAACUUUAAUAAAAAAGGAUGAAAAUGCAUGAUAUGAUUCUGGUAGAGUUAUAUUUAUUAUGAGAACUCCCUUCCUGGCUGGAAUGCAAUUACCUACUUCUAAUUUUGCCUUUAAGUAGUGGAGGCAGAGAAAAACUCGUAUUAGCCUCAUGAGAACAAGGCUCCACCCUUCUGGCCUCAGUUUACCCUAACUAAUUCCUGAUUACCUUCUUACCAGUGCAAUUUCACUGGAGUCAGAGAUCCAUGGAUUUGGGAAAGACACACUUCAAUCUAUGCAACUCAUUUCUCUCUCCUUAUGAGAAAAACCUGAAAACUCAUUAAAAAAUGUAUUUUAAAGUUUAUCUGGGAGUACAUUUAGCUCUGUGUGUACAUGUGUUUCAUAUCCAUGAGACAUGCCAAUAAUGAAUUGAAAAUAUCUGAAAUAAGAGAGUCUAAACAUUUGCAGAUUCUUUUUCUUGUUUUUAUGCCCUAAGCAAUACUGCAUUUGCAAACGGGUUCGUUGAUUAGGUAUCAAUAUCAAUAUCAACAGAAAUGAAUGAAAGCCUACAGGAUGAAGUACAUAAGACAUAUGCAAAUUCUACAUCAUAAACAAUUUUAGGUUGUGGUAUUUGUAGGGGUUCAAAUAAACACCAGAUAAACAGAGAGUCAAUCAUAUAUUAUAUUGUUUAUAUUGUAUUAUUUAUGAGAAGAAAAAUCAGCUCUGUGCAGUUUAUUUUAGUUCAUAUGAAAUAUGACACUAAGUUCAAAAUUGACAAAGAUUUUCAGUAGGGCUUGGUGGGAUGAGGCAUGUGGAUCCUAAACAAAAUGUCCCUGAUGUGCAGCUGUGUGUCCUGUCCAGUGUCCCUGUAUAGCUCACAAUUUUGUUGCUUUCACAAAUACAUGGAGGAAAUAAUUUAAAUGGAGAAAGAUUUAUUUGGUGCAUGGCUGCCUGGAUCAUUGUCCUUAGGCCUGUGGUGAAAGAGAAUAUCUCUCCUCAUGGCAGCAGGAAGAAGAUAUGAGCUAAUGGGCUCCUCCUCCUCCUCUUUUGGUCCAUCUGAGCCCGAGGUGUUGAAUGGCACCGACCACAGUCAGAGUAAAUCUGAAUUUACCAUUCAUACUGAGAGCCCUCCCAGGAACACCCAGUGUACUUACCAAUUUCCCAAGUAUUUCUCAAUACAAUCCAGUUGACAGGCAAAUGGCCACUGUAUUCUUCCCUUCUUAAUUUCAUGGUCCUAUACAAGCAUACAUUUCACUAGCAUCAUAUACAGCCAUGGCCUACUUAUCACUCUAGGGUUCAUGUAUAAGUCUCUGUUUCAGGUGUUGACAUAGAUUUCCUGAGAUGCUUUGUGGUUUCAAAUUGCUACUGUACACAUUGUAGUAAGGUAGGAAAAGACAAUGUUAUGGGAAAAGUCAAUACUGUAGAGUUUUGCAAGGCCUACAGGAUCGUUCUGUGAGCACAGAUGGAAAUCCAAAUGGGAACCUUUGCAGUGUUAGAAUUACUGGCUUUCAUUUAUACAAAUCUUCUCAUUUUACAAGCUUAUUGUGGCUCAGAAAUGCCACCCCAUCAAUCCUCAUGGCUGCUCACAGGGACACUGAUGGGCUAUUAAAAUGAGCUCAGGGAACCCUGCAGAAGAGGAGGCAAUGUAUGCAAGAGCCAGAGGGGAUGAAGGACACCAGGACAGCAAAACCAACUAAAUCAACAGAGCAAGGCUCAUAUGAACUCACAGAGACUGAAGCAGCAGGCUUCAGAUUUGAAAGAUGUUGGAAAGUGGCAGAGGCAUGAAAGUAGAAAAGGCCAUUUCUGGAAAGAGAAAGAAGAUGAGGAAGAUGAAGAAGAGGAAGAGGACAGACAGAAGUGUCUGGGGGAUCAAGAGGUCAAUAGGGGUCAAUGUGAACAUUCCGUAGAUAGGCACACAUCAUAGUGAAAACAUUGCUUUGUAUAGUCAAUAUAAUAUAUGCUAAUAAAAAGAACAAAGAAAAAAUGUACCAAUAAAUUUUAUUAUAAGAGGAGAGAAAAUAUAGUGAAAUCCUUCCAGGAAGCAAUCUGUACCGGGACCUGGUGUUCUGCAUACAGUCUUUGCAUCUGAUCACUUUAGAGUCCAAUUACUCUAAAUUCCCCUGAACCCAGUUCUUCAUCUCCAAAAUAGACUGAAGAUUUUCACUUUUGCCCUCUUAGAAGGAUUAAAGGGAACAACAUCUGUGUGCAUCCCUUAGUGCGCACAGUAGGCUCUCAUUAAUAGUGUCAUUUCUGCACCUAGUAAGAGCAUUUUCCUCCAUUGUUUGAACAACUAAUUUUAGAUGAAUGUAUCAACCAGACUGAGUGUGUGGCGAGGUCAGAAAAUGUCCCUGGACCACUGUGUCUCAGGAGACACAUGUGAUACAAACGGAGUGGCCAAGUCAUACUGAUGAGUAGAGAAAACACUGAACGAACCAAGGCACAGCUCAGGUUUUCAUUAAGUCUCCCCGGAGCUGGAGGUGCACAGUCAUGUGGGAGUUCAUACUUCCUCUUUGUCUGAGAACUAUUGGCACUGCCAUUGGGAGAAAUGAAAGUUGUCAACCAAUACAUGGAUGACUCAUGGAAGCCAGCAUCCUGAAAAUGUCAGAAAUAAACCCACUAACUCAAUAAAAAACAGAGCUGAAAAAUGUCCAUAAGAUAUUGCAGUUCACCAGGGAUACAGAUGGUGGCACAUGCCUUUAAUCCCAGCACAUGGGAGGCAGAGGAAGGCAGAGCUCUGUGAGUUUGAGGCCAAGCUGGGCUACAGAGUGAGUUCCAGGAAAGGCACCAAAGCUAUACAGAGAAACCCUGUCUCAAAAAAAAAAAAAGAUAUUGCAACAUUCUGACUAUGAGUCUUAAUUAGAAUUCCAUCCCCUCCCACAGGUACAUGUGCCUUUAGAUUCUGACUGGACACAGUAUAUUGGGGAUAAAACUAUCUUCAGAAAGGAGAAACAGGAAAUGAAUUAUAGACUAUGGAGGACAUUAUGGUGCCAAGUGAUAUUCAAGUGACUGGAGCUAACUCAUUGGACAUCUACAGCAGGCAGUGAGAUAUGCACCUCAGAAUAUGCAGAACUUAGAAAAGAUCCCCAGGGACAGAAUCUGGAGUAAGGAUUCAUGAAAGUCUAGAGGCAGGAACAGAGCAAGCCUUGGCAGAUGGAGGUGGGCUUGAUAGCAAAAAUAAAAUAAGAAGCAGAAGUUUGAAGUAACAUUGAAGCCUUAAAAAUCUUCAUCAGUGAUUACAUGAGUGAUCUCACUCUGGGUCCUUAAGCGUCAUCAGUGUGUGACUGUCACAGAAAGGAUAAUGAGUGAUGUCAGGAGAAUAAGAUAAAGAGGACCGAGUGCUUAGAGGGAAAAUGCAUACCAGAAAGCUUACUACAUUUUAAAAUGUGCUAUUGUCAAGUCAGGGGUAACACUGAAAGUUUAUUUUUCUAUCUAGUUUUCUCCACUUUACUCCUUUUAAAAAAAGUGGGAUUUAGUUUUAAUAAUAUGUAAGAGUUAAAUUUUCUUAGAAGACUACUCAAAAGAUCUGUGUGGAGAUGUUAUCAAAAAAGAUGAAACAGCACAAUAUUUUAAAACUUUUAGUAAAUUUGGGUUUUUUUUCUCUAGGAAACAAACAAAAAAAAUGUGAGUUGUUCUCUUUCCAGAACUAUCUAAAUGCACAAAUGAGCCUAGGAGGGCGUGCUGAGAGGUCCAUGAGCCAGGUUCUCAGCCUGCAUCUGCCAGGCAUGGCUUGUCACCGAGGUUUUGGUUAACUGGAAGACAGGAUAAACCCACUUUUGAUUUUAAUUUCAUAAUUAGGUAACUAUACUCUGAAAUAUCAGGCAUUCACAUAUGGAAAAAGUCAGCACACAAGAAGUCACAAAAUAAUGUUUUUAUCCAUGAAAUAUUUUCUAGACAAUUGUCCAUUUUUCUUCCUGUAUUUACUUUUAUACUGAGGUUAAACCAAAGUUUUCAUACUUCAAAGUGAAUCAGUUAUAGAUAGCUUCACAUAGUUUAGCUUAUAGAUGAAAUACAUGAAAGUCUUUCUAUGAGCUUAUAAGAUGAUGGGAGUUUUCCAUGAAGAUAAGUUGCUAAAUUCUGAUUUAAAUUGAAAUUGAAAUUUUCGAUAAUUCUCCUAAUCAUAAAAGCAGUUUACCUUCACUCACUUAAUGAUCCCUCAACCUAUAUUGAAUACUCUUUCUGAUGAAUAGAGCAGUACAAAGGGACAUGAUACAGGGAGGAGAUAGACAAUGAAUGAAGCAAAUUAAAUUUAUGUACAUUGUGUCAAAUAGUAAUAAUUUCACAGAAGAUGAAUAAAGCCAAGGAGGAAGGUAGGUUUGUAGGAAUGUGAAAAACAGAUUGAAAAGGCACUUUCUAAAGACAGGAAAAUACACAUGUGCUGAGGAAAUAACUAUUGUGACUGUCUCUUGAAAACCAUGGAAGACAGAACAGAAAGCAGAUGUCAAAACAGCCUUUGCCUGAUGGGGGAAGGGAGCUAGUGUAGACAAAAGAGAGUGUGCCCAGGAGAGUCAGUAGGGAGUAAGGGAGCUCACCUAGGACACUGGGUGAUCGUGGGGAACUGAGGACAAGUUGGAAUGGCAUCUGUACUCUGAGAAGUAUAGGUCAACAAUUAACCAUCAAAAUAUAAUAAAAUCAGAUGACUAGAUUCUAAAGACAAGGUAUAAACUAUUCUUUGAUGAGGCUUUGGGAUAUAUUAGCACUCAAAGGUUCUUGUUUCCAAACCUGAUGACUUCCAUUGAUCCCUGGAUCCCCCACUGUGGAAGGAGAAAGCUAACUCUCCUCAUUUUCCUUCUGCCUCCACACUCGUGCCAUGAUAUGUAUACGGAAACAUGCACACACAUCAACAUACAAAAACGCAUAGACUUACAAGCAAACUAAUAAAUACAGGGGAAAAUAAUUAGAAUACUUUGGGAAAUGAUGAAGUUAUCUUUUGACAAAGAUGAAGUGAUCUCCCCACGAAGGAUUCCUUCACUUGGAAUAAAUUUUUUGGUUUUUAUACACUACUCACAGAAGCAGGAUCAAAGACUCAAAAGUCAAUCCCUUUUGAACAAAGCAGACACUGCUGGGCUUUAUGAAACCAUCACAAAUUACCUCUAACUUGUUCACUCCAUUUUCACAGACUGGCCUGUCAUAGCAUGUAUAAUGCCUAUUACAAAUCAUGCUAAACACAAGAAACACUUCUAUACAUGCCUGUGUGGAUAAUCCCCUGAAACUGAAAGUUGAAAGUCAGUUUUAGUUUCUUGUUACAGAAUCAUGUCUCAAAGGAAAGCACAUGUUGUACACCUUGAAUAAACUAUCUUCAGUGCCCUUCAUCUCUGAACUCUUAGUUUACAAUAAAUGAUGUCUCUGAAAAUUCA